rnacentral:lncRNA from 1 species
CCCCUACACCAAGCACUAUCCCUUCUGAGCUCUCAAGGCCACACUACUGGGCUAAAAGACUCGACCGAACCAACCCCGUCCCGGCCCGCCGGCUGUCCAGUCGCCCCUCAGCGGCCGUUUGCCACAAGCCUGCAGCUGGCAGAGCCUGGCGCGGAGGUGUCUGCGAUUGACCGGCGAAGAAGGGAAAGGGAAACUUGUCAAUCCACGAUUGAUUUCUUUUCAGAACUAGCCAGAGACACAAUGGAUUUCAAGCUAAAUUGCGUUCCCCAAUCCACUUCGAACUGUAUGAAUGCGAAUGAAUAAUCUUAUUAGGGACAAUAAUACGGCACGGGAGUUUCAUGCCCUCAAAGCGGGAACAAACGCUAGAACUGAAUACAUACAUAGUUCUAAAUCUUCUACUAAAAUUUUCCUGUAGCGUUAGAGGCCUUUAAUUCAUAUUGGCGAACGAUGCUUCCCGAGCUACCGGGAUACUGUAGGUUCAACAUGUACAUUUACAGAAAUGUACUAAAAUGAAUUCACGAAGUGCGCAGCAAAUAAGAUGAGUAGCCUAUAGGCCCAUGUCCAUAGUCCAGGGCAACGGAGGGGGUUACCCUGGGGCCGUGUUACCCCUCCUGCUGGGUAGGAACUUACAAGGGGGUUACCUAUGGGCUACGGGGGGUUGAAGGUGGGUAACCGAUGGGUAACCCAUGGGUUACCCACCCAAUCAGUGCCUUAGGGCUGCGCCUAUUGUCCGACGGCUGCGUGGGCUGCAUCCCAAAUCCACCCACAAUAUCAUCAUUGGCUUCCAUUGUGAUAUUCCUCUUAAGCAUCUUUAGAGAUUUGACCUAUGAGGUUAACCAUAGUUAGAGAGUAGGGUCGGGCUGGAGCCAACUAUAGCACAGCCAGAGACUCUUGAUCCUGAGUAAGGUAAUUAUUAGAAAGACGAUAACACUUGUUAGUUUGAUGCUGCAAUGAGUGGC